AACGAACGCUGGCGGCAUGCCUAACACAUGCAAGUCGAACGAGACCUUCGGGUCUAGUGGCGCACGGGUGCGUAACGCGUGGGAACCUGCCCUUAGGUUCGGAAUAACUCCCCGAAAGGGGUGCUAAUACCGGCUAAUGUCUUCGGACCAAAGAUUUAUCGCCUUUGGAUGGGCCCGCGUUGGAUUAGCUAGUUGUUAGGGUAAAAGCCUAACAAGGCGACGAUCCAUAGCUGGUCUGAGAGGAUGAUCAGCCACACUGGGACUGAGACACGGCCCAGACUCCUACGGGAGGCAGCAGUGGGGAAUAUUGGACAAUGGGCGAAAGCCUGAUCCAGCAAUGCCGCGUGAGUGAUGAAGGCCUUAGGGUUGUAAAGCUCUUUUACCCGGGAUGAUAAUGACAGUACCGGGAGAAUAAGCUCCGGCUAACUCCGUG
rnacentral:rRNA from 1 species